rnacentral:rRNA from 1 species
AGAGUUUGAUCCUGGCUCAGGACGAACGCUGGCGGCGUGCCUAACACAUGCAAGUCGAGCGGAGACAGUGAGUAGCUUGCUACGAGCUGUUUUAGCGGCGGACGGGUGAGUAACGCGUGAGCAACCUUUCCCAGACAGGGGAAUAACACACCGAAAGGUGUACUAAUACCGCAUAAGACCACGGAAUCACAUGGUUCUGGGGUAAAAGAAUUAUCGGUUUGGGGUGGGCUCGCGUCCGAUUAGGUAGUUGGUGAGGUAACGGCCCACCAAGCCGACGAUCGGUAGCCGACCUGAGAGGGUGAUCGGCCACAUUGGGACUGAGACACGGCCCAAACUCCUACGGGAGGCAGCAGUGGGGAAUAUUGGGCAAUGGGGGAAACCCUGACCCAGCAACGCCGCGUGGAGGAAGAAGGUUUUCGGAUCGUAAACUCCUGUCCUUGGAGACGAGUAGAAGACGGUAUCCAAGGAGGAAGCCCCGGCUAACUACGUGCCAGCAGCCGCGGUAAUACGUAGGGGGCAAGCGUUGUCCGGAAUAAUUGGGCGUAAAGGGCGCGUAGGCGGCUCGGUAAGUCUGGAGUGAAAGUCCUGCUUUUAAGGUGGGAAUUGCUUUGGAUACUGUCGGGCUUGAGUGCAGGAGAGGUUAGUGGAAUUCCCAGUGUAGCGGUGAAAUGCGUAGAGAUUGGGAGGAACACCAGUGGCGAAGGCGACUAACUGGACUGUAACUGACGCUGAGGCGCGAAAGUGUGGGGAGCAAACAGGAUUAGAUACCCUGGUAGUCCACACUGUAAACGAUGAAUGCUAGGUGUAGGGGGUAUCGACCCCUUCUGUGCCGCAGUCAACACAAUAAGCAUUCCGCCUGGGGAGUACGGCCGCAAGGUUGAAACUCAAAGGAAUUGACGGGGGCCCGCACAAGCAGUGGAUUAUGUGGUUUAAUUCGACGCAACGCGAAGAACCUUACCAGGAUUUGACAUCCAACUAACGAAGUAGAGAUACAUCAGGUACCCUUCGGGGGAAGUUGAGACAGGUGGUGCAUGGUUGUCGUCAGCUCGUGUCGUGAGAUGUUGGGUUAAGUCCCGCAACGAGCGCAACCCUUAUCUUCAGUUACUAACGCGUAAAGGUGAGGACUCUGAAGAGACUGCCGGGGACAACUCGGAGGAAGGUGGGGACGACGUCAAAUCAUCAUGCCCCUUAUGACCUGGGCUACACACGUGCUACAAUGGCCACGACAGAGAGAAGCGAAAUCGUAAGGUAGAGCGGAACUCAAAAAAGUGGUCCCAGUUCGGAUUGUGGGCUGCAACCCGCCCACAUGAAGUCGGAGUUGCUAGUAAUCGCGGAUCAGCAUGCCGCGGUGAAUACGUUCCCGGGCCUUGUACACACCGCCCGUCACACCAUGGGAGUUGGUAACACCCGAAGUCAGUAGCCUAACCGCAAGGAGGGCGCUGCCGAAGGUGGGAUCGAUGACUGGGGUGAAGUCGUAACAAGGUAGCCGUAUCGGAAGGUGCGGCUG